AAGAGCAUAUGGUGGAUGCCUUGGCGAUAUCUGCUGAAGAAGGACGCGACAAGCUGCGAAAAGCCACGGAGAGGCGCAAAUAGCCUAUGACCCGUGGAUAUCCGAAUGGGGCAACCCGACGGUGGUCAUGCACCGUCAUCCAUACCGACCGGUAU
rnacentral:sRNA from 1 species